CUCUGCUCCGCUACACAGAGGUCGGAGUCGGAGGCGAACUCGCUCGCACCGGCGGCCGGCUAGGGUUAGCAAAAAUGGCGUUGUCCAAUCGCCGGCGGAGCUGCUCUCCUCCGGCCACCGCAUCCUCGCUGUACUUUCCGCCGGAGCUGAUCCCCGAGGUCGCAAGGCGCCUCACGAACCUCCAGGACUUGUUCGCCCUCCGCGCCGUCUGCCGCACCUACCGCGCCUUCCUCCCGCUGACCUCAUCCAACCUCGCCUCCCAGGCGCCGCUCCUCCUCGUACCCUUGGAGGAUGGAUCCAAAGCCCUCUUCCACCCCACCCUCCGCCUGAUCCACCGCUUCUGCCUCCACCUCAUGGCCCGAGCCGGCACCGACUGGAGAAUCACCCGAUUCCACGCAUGCGGCAACCGCCUCGCCAUCUACGAAAUCGGGGGAAAGCGGGGCUACCCCACGCCCAGCCUCUCCAACCUCAGCAUCGUUAGCCUCCUCACAGGCGAGCGAACCUGCCUCUCCGGUCCCCCGGAGGGCAUGUCCCGCAUCCUCCUCUGCGGCGAUCUCGUCCUCACCUGGAAGCAGAUCCAACGCGCUAUCAGGUACUGUCGCCUUGAGGCCGCGGACUGGCGCGUGGCGUCAAUUGUCGAACCCUACAAGCUUCUGGAUUUGAUCUGUGUGAAUGGCAUCCUCUACGCACUAGUUAUCCCAGGUUACCUUCUCGCAGCUGUACAACUGUCAGAAGAUAAGAAUUCGGUGGAAUUGGUGCUUCUUGGAGGCAAUUUGGAUGCGCCAACCCUACACUUGCAAGAUUUGCACCUUGCAGAGUGCUGUGGUGAGCUGAUACUGAUUAGGACCAUGGAAUUCGAUCCACUGGUUUACCAUUUUUUCCGGUGGAAGUUUGGGGAGGCAAAGUGGGAGAGGAUUACUAGCGGCCUUGGUGGGUGCACCCUAUUUGUCGCAGAUGAUCACUUUGUAGGAUGCCUCGGUCCUGAUCAUAAGGGCAUUCGAGGGGACUCCAUGUACAUAACAACAGAUAAUGCGAUGGGAAUUGGUAUGAGUAUUCUUUGACUGAUGGAUCUUUCAACAGAUUUGUUGUUGAAUACCCAGGAAGACCUCCAUUGGGUAGUCCACUGAUUUGGGUCCUUCCAAGCAUGUCUUGAUGCACUCAUAUGAGUUUAGGUUCAUGAUCUUACUGGUGCUCUCUUUUGUGCUUCCACUAGUCCCUGAUGGUGUCCCAACGCAGCUGUGGUGAUGACAUGUUAUGGCCUUAAGUCCGCAUGCAAGCAUGCAGCCCUGCCAGUUCGCUUGUUGUUGUUGCAGGUUCAUAAUCUUGAUGAGUGUGCUGCUCUCUUGUAUUGCUUGGUGUUAUGACAAGCAUGUGGCCAGGGCAAAGCUGACAGUGAACUUUAUUUUUGAAGUAUUGUAGGGACCUGUGUAUAUGCGAUGUGGACACAGAUAAUCGAUUUGAUUUGAAUGUUUUUUGCUAAGCAACUAUUUAUAAGUGGAUAUGAAGGACUGCUGUGAUGCUUGUAAUGCUGGCAUGCACUGGAAAUAGAAUUCCUUUGUUAUCUGCCUCGUAUA